rnacentral:rRNA from 1 species
GUCUCAGUUCGGACUGUAGGCUGCAACUCGCCUACACGAAGUUGGAAUUGCUAGUAAUCGUGGAUCAGCAUGCCACGGUGAAUACGUUCCCGGGUCUUGUACACACCGCCCGUCACACCAUGGGAGCUGGUAACACCCGAAGUCAGUAGUCUAACCGCAAGGAGGACGCUGCCGAAGGUGGGAUUAGCGACUGGGGUGAAGUCGUAACAAGGUACC